GAGAAGUUCGUUUUGGAACCAGCAGUGGACUCGUGCAUAUAAUUAAAAUUGAGAACGUUGCUCAAAAGAGGAAGCCUGAAGCGCGCGGUUGGUUGGAGAGACCGGACAGAUAAAAUAUGACUUGCAACAGAUCGACGUGAAAGGAGGCAAGGCAUGAUAGAGAAUAAAUACAAAAAAGAACGUCAGCCGCUUGCUCACGUUGCAAAAGUACAGGAAAUGCAGAAGAGGUUUGGGAGAUUGAGACUGGUGAGGAUUCAUUCAGUCAGAAGUUACAUGUUGAAAAGAUGCAGGUGGAGUGCCAAAAGAGACCUAAGUUCCCUUCAAGGCAAAAAUGAAAAGGACUGAAAAAUAUACAUUUUUCUGAAACAAGGCACCAAGGAUUUCUUAAAACAGUAACCCGUACUCUAUUUUUUUAGCCAUUGUAAGUAGCCAAAAAGUCUUGACAGAAAUAAAUGGUCAAAACUAAUGUAACAUAGCCAAGUACUGUCAUCUGAAUCCAAGAUAUGAUGCAUUAUAAACAAAUUGACUUAAGAUUCUCAGAUGAGAAUCAAACCCGGUAUGGAUGUGGACUGAAAGAUUAUGUUUGGAUUCUGCACAAUGGCUGACAGAAUCAUUGCAGAAACUGAAAAGAGGGGUGUGGCUAUGGAGUUGCUGAAUCUCUACAAGAAGACACUUCUCACACGGAGGCUCACAAUGGUUUGAAGUUCACUGCAGCCAUUUUGUGCCUCUUACCUCUUCAAAGAAGAUCCAAGUGGCUGUACGUCAGACAGGAACAAUAGAGGGGAAUCCCUGUUCAGAUGAAAGCCACAUCAAGCUCUUCAAGAUGGAGAAAGGCCAGAGGACAUCUCCAUGGGAUUGGGAGUGGCAAUGGGGGUCAUUUCCUUCAUAUUGAGUAUGCAGCAUCAGUAAAAAGCAUUAAGCUGUUAAUUCAGAAAUGUGUUCUGGGAAUUGAUGAGGGGUUAAAUUACCAACAAUUGUUGUAUGAAUGGCAAACUUUUUGCUGUAGAAGGAUAAGGGAAAUCUGAGAUCUCUGCAAGUGAAUGUGACUUUAGUCAAAAUUAAUUGAUUAAGUUUGCCACUCAAUGUAAUUUGUAUUUUGUUACAAUUCAUAAUAGAUUACAUUAGGUUCCUACAGGAACCUUAACACCCUAAAAAGGUGCUUUGAGGAAACUUUAAAAGGUUCCUCUGUGAAAAGGUUCCUGGAAGCACCAUAAGUGGAUCUGCUGGUAUUGCAAUCUGAGGAACCUUUUUUUUUUAGAAUGUACACUAAGCACAUCAACCUGCCUUCUGAUUUCAUGCCCUAUUUUACAUCAGUGUUGUAGACCAAAUAUUGAAAAGAGCGGUCUGGUUGCCUCAGACAUUUGUAGUUGAACAAGUCAUUACAAUUCUUUUACUUGAAUUGACUUGUGCUUAGAAUAGCCGACUUGCUUGUGACUGUCCCACCUUCGCACGGCUGUAACAAGACUCAGAAUGUAUUGGUCGGAUUUGAGGGUGAGGUAUUCCAGAUCGGGAGAAAAGGACUCGUUCCUGUAUGUUGCGACAAUCACACCAUGAGUUAUAAUGAAACACCCCUCACAUUUUCCUAGAGUUAUUUCUUCCUACCCGUACGAUGGAUGAGAACCCUGGCGGGUGGGUUGGCUAGACAAAUUGAACCACAUUUCUGUACAUAUUGUCGCAGUUCCUUAUGUCCCUCUUAAAAAAGGUCCUCGCACACCUUAUUUUAGAGAAUUUACAUUAGCAAGUAAUAGAAGCAGAACGCCUUAGUCCUUUAAAAUCACGGACACCUGUGCUAAUGUCAUGCAUGGUCACUGACACUAACAAAUAAUGGCCAUUCCCAUGGAUGCGUUACAUAUCUUUUGUACCCGAUAUUCUAUAAUUUAUUGAUGUCUGUUUCUGCUGUGUUGUGAAUUGUUCUAUUGGCUUAUGUCCCUAUCCUUCUGGGAUGUGAUUGCCAUGUCACUGGUCCGGCCAUCAAAUAAAUACAAAUGUUUAUCCAGGCGAGCAGAUUUAAGGUUAAACAAAACUAAGAUCUCACAUAAAAACAAAAAAAAAGCUCCAGUGCAGCUGUUUAUUUCAAUUGAGCAUGUUACUGUGAAUAAUGGUCAAUGAAAAACAAUUGCUUCUUAGCAAAGUGCCAUUUUUCAAACAGAAUUAGUUAAGACUGAGGGGUCUAAUUGGAGGUAUAUGUCACCGGAAAACCAGCUGUUAUUGGCAGAAGUCAUUGGUCUAGUGAUGUCAACUGGCUGUCCAAAAACCCCACCCAGCCAGACAAGCUGAAAUUUCAGUGGAUCUUUAAGCAGCUUACACUAAAGUGCAUUCAGAAUUUUAGUAUGAAAAUCAGGAAUACCCUGCCCCUUUAAAUUUAGCUUAACUGUUUACUCAUGGGAUUUGGCAAAAUUGAAAUGUUCCUUAAACAGUUCACCUGCCAGGCCAAACAUUACAUUCUCUACUUUGUAUUUGUUACUGAAUGUAUCGUAUUAAAAAAGUGGGUUAGGUACAAGAAACAAAAAUUACACGUGUGUGAGAGACUAUAGUCAGUGGCACCACAACGCCAAAGUGUGCCGCGUUAAUGUCAAUGCUCUUUGACAACUAUAACCACAUUACUCUAACUGGAUGGAAUAGUCCAUUUAACAGGAAGUGUCUUUAUAAAAGCCAACUGAACGUCGUUUUGACAUGGUGGGAUCUUUGUAAAUGGCAGUGGAAACACGUGAGAAGGUUGUUUCAUGAACUGAAAUAAAACUUCCCAGAAAUGGCCAUAUGCACAAAAAGCAUCUCAAAUUGUGCAUACAUGUUAGUGAGAAUUUUGUCCUUUGCCAAGAUAAUCAGCAAUCUGACAUGUGGCAUAGCAAAGAAGCUGAAUAAACCAGUGCACCUUGUCAAAACAAUGUCACAGGUGUCUCAAGUUUAGGGAGUGCGCAAUAGGCAUGCUGAUUACUGGAAUGUUCACCAUGCCACCUCCAGUUUGAGAAUUUGGCAGUAUAUCCAAAUCGGCCUCAACUGCAAACCUAUGUCAUGUGGGUGAGUGGAAUGCUGAUGUCAAAGUUAAUUGCCCCAUGGGGUUGUUACGGGCAGGUAAAAGCUAUUGACAAAAAUGGCAUUUUGUCAAUAGCAAUUUGAAUGCACAGAAAUACCAUGAGCCUGAGACCCAUUUGAAAUCUUAUUCCUAGUCAUGUGAAUUCUAGAUUAUGGCCUAAUGAAAAACCUUAAAAUCCUUAGUGUCAUCUUUCAAGUCCUUAAUUUACAGCAUUACCCUUAGGCAGAUUUUUUUUUUUGCCCCAUCCCUCCUGCUAAUUGGGCAACUUGUCAAGUUCAGAACAGCUGUCAGUCAAAAUCAAUACAGCGCAGAGCCCUGAAGUCAUAGCACACUGCGUUCCAAUUUAGGGACUGGUCAGUGCCUGAAUCUGCCAUUUUCAACCUGUAUAUGGUAGGAGUACAAAGGGCUACAUAUCAAAUGUAGCAACCCGUGGUGUAAAGUACUAAGGACAAACUUACAAUUUUACCCAUUACAUUCCUAAAGACAGUCAUUUUUACAUCAUACAUUUUCCCUGACACCCAAAAGUACUCGUUACAUUGACAAGACGAUGGGCCUAGACAGCUGUCAUCCCUACUGUCUCCGAUUUGGCGGACUCACUAAACACAAAUGCUUAAUUUGUAAAUUCUGAGUGUUGGUGCCCCUUGCUGUGAACAAAA